rnacentral:rRNA from 1 species
GACGAACGCUGGCGGCGUGCUUAACACAUGCAAGUCGAACGCUGAAGCUCAGCUUUUGUUGGGUGGAUGAGUGGCGAACGGGUGAGUAACACGUGAGUAACCUGCCCCCUUCUUUGGGAUAACGCCCGGAAACUGGUGCUAAUACUGGAUAUUCACUGGUCUUCGCAUGGGGGUUGGUGGAAAGGGUUUUUCUGGUGGGGGAUGGGCUCGCGGCCUAUCAGCUUGUUGGUGGGGUGAUGGCCUACCAAGGCUUUGACGGGUAGCCGGCCUGAGAGGGUGACCGGUCACAUUGGGACUGAGAUACGGCCCAGACUCCUACGGGAGGCAGCAGUGGGGAAUAUUGCACAAUGGGCGCAAGCCUGAUGCAGCGACGCCGCGUGAGGGAUGGAGGCCUUCGGGUUGUGAACCUCUUUCGCUCAUGGUCAAGCCGCAACAAUGGUUGUGGUGAGGGUAGUGGGUAAAGAAGCGCCGGCUAACUACGUG